GAAAUUGAAAGGCGGCUUCGGCUGUCACUUAUGGAUGGACCCGCGUCGCAUUAGCUAGUUGGUGAGGUAACGGCUCACCAAGGCAACGAUGCGUAGCCGACCUGAGAGGGUGAUCGGCCACACUGGGACUGAGACACGGCCCAGACUCCUACGGGAGGCAGCAGUAGGGAAUCUUCCGCAAUGGACGAAAGUCUGACGGAGCAACGCCGCGUGAGUGAUGAAGGCUUUCGGGUCGUAAAACUCUGUUGUUAGGGAAGAACAAGUGCUAGUUGAAUAAGCUGGCACCUUGACGGUACCUAACCAGAAAGCCACGGCUAACUACGUGCCAGCAGCCGCGGUAAUACGUAGGUGGCAAGCGUUAUCCGGAAUUAUUGGGCGUAAAGCGCGCGCAGGUGGUUUCUUAAGUCUGAUGU
rnacentral:rRNA from 1 species